UAGUUUAUGUGUUUUUGCUUAUAGUAUAUAGUUUGUGUUAAACUACAGUUUUCAUAGAUGUAGGUAUCAAAAGUUUAAUUGAAUUAAAAUAAAAUAGCUUAUAGACUAUAUAGUGUUUUGUUAAUAGAUUUAGUAUAACAGUAAGAAUGAGAAUGAGAAUGAGUAAUAGAUUUAUUAAAAUCUGUGUUGACAUGCAUGCUUGGUCUCUCGGUUGAUGAAGUGACGCUCAAGGAAAAAAACAUGUUCUUAUUUAUAUUUAUUUUUUUAACAUCAAUUUCUUAUAUUAAGAAACAUUUGCGUUUACAAAGUCAUUACGAAUAUUGUUAGUGACAAACAUUGGAAUAUAAUGACAUAACUGAAAGAUGAACCAUUGGAGAUAUUUGCCUUUGCCAAUUGAACAUCAACCAUAUGAUGUUUUUAUUUAUUAAUAUAGAUAGAUAUGGAUGUUUCAUCACUGUGGGAUAUAUAUAUGUUGAUAAACUCUUCGUGCCACAAUUGCUCAUAGAGGUUUGUAACUGUAGGAUCUUAUAAUACAAUAUUAUUGAUGAAAAAGAGUUUAAAGUAAAUUAUAUUGUUUUGCUAAAAACAAUAAAUCAUAAAUCUCUGCAUAAGACAUAUAUUAACGGUUGAGAACAAUAUAGUAAAGAUGCAUUAUAUAAAUCCACAUAUAAAAUAUAUACAAACGGGUUGUAUAUAUUUUAUUAAGAAAUCAGUAACUAAUUGUCAGUCUUAUUGUAUUUAAUUGAUUUGUUUAUCUUUGCUCUUCGCAUGUUUGGUCACCAGAAAUGAACCAUUCUUUGUAUUAACUAAUAAAAAUGUAUCAAUACAAAACAAAACAAUUUAUAGUACUAAUUGUGUAUGUCUACAUAAAACGUAUAACAUUUUCACACCAAGCAUACUAAGCCAAACAUCAAGCUGCCUCUGUUCUCGGGAUCCAGAAACCAGAGAUCAUCUUCUUCUCAGCUGUGAGUACAACUCAAAUAUAUUGAUUAUGGUUCUCACGUAUAAGCGGACCAUUGCAAAAGUUUCUUAAUGGGUCAGAACUGCUAGCAUGGAUCAGAAGCAAUCAAACCAACAACUCCAACGCCAGUACUGUAUCUGCUGCUACUAUGGAAUGGAAGCAGCGGCUCCUUCUUUGGAAAAUGGUAACUCAGGCUGUCGUGUUUCAUAUUUGGAAGCAGCAUAACAAUGUUUUCACAACAACACCUCACUUACCACUACAACUAUUUUCACACUAUUGAUCGUGAGAUCAAGAACACUAUUUGCAAGGAAGAACCGAAAGCUUUUUAGGUGAUACUAAAAUUAGAUUAGAUGUAAAUAUUGUUUCAUAAUACUUCGAGGGAAUUGCCAAGGGAUCUAGAAAACUAUCAGUUUCAGCUAUACCGACUUGCUGGAAAAUUUACAUAGCAGGUACACAUCCCGAAUAUUAUAGAUUUUAGAUUAUCUAGUUAUGUAUGAAACAAAAUAAAAAGACUAAUGAAAGUGAAACAAACUAUUAAAAAUCAAAUCACGGGAAAAUAUAUUUUCUUGGCUAUAUACGUCACAUGGCCCCUUAGAUUUGAUAUUCUUGGAAAUGAGAUUCAUUGAUGAAUAUUGAGAUUUUACCACAAACAGAGGCCGAAACUGGUCAUAUCCUAACAUGCUUACUUCACAACCCGACAAGCAAGACCGCUUCAAGAUCCACACAAUUUUCGGAUACAGUUGGGACGCACUCUCUAACGUCCACUUUACACCUAGAUAGAAGUCCACCAUACACCUCCACACAAAUAAGCCUCAUCGAUCGAUUCCAAUAAUAGAAGCAUUCAUUAGCAAAGCACAUCGACGAGAAAUCACUGCACCCACUAUGGAAGAGAAACCUGAAACUGAAAAGUCGAACACCAAACCCCAAGCCAGAGACUCACAGCAGCUGUCUGGACCCAAAAUUCCUACAAUCUGAAAUCAUGAAAACAACAGAAGAAUCCAAAGAGAAUCCCACAAAAUCCAAGAUAAACCUACAACUCCAUUUCUUUAAUCACCAAAGGCAAGAUAACUCCAAAAGACCACAACAUUUGUCGCCAAAUUAAUCAGAAUUAAAGGCUCGGACCAACACUUCAAACACCCAAAGCGGUAUCCUGCUUUCGAGUAGACCAUCUCUUCCGUGACUCAAUGUCCUGCUCCUUAGUCAAAAAUACGGAGACACCUUACGAACUGAUAAAAAGCGGGCUUCGGCGGCAACAACGAGACUAGUUCAGCACAUAAAGAUUCCAAUGGGGAAGGCAGGUAACGCCGACGAAGCAGAUUCCCCACCGCGUGCUACCUGCAAAGACGAAGCCAUUUUCUACCACUCAUCACAAAACUCUUCCAAUCGUCUCACCGUCACUUGGAAAAGGUGAAACCAAAGGUGGACAAACUCCCCACUGAGUCACGCGCCCCGCCGUAAAGGACGCCGCCGGAGACCUAAAAAGUAAAAACUAGAUCUGAUGCUCCACUUAACCCUAAACGCCGACCUUCCUCAUGACUACCUCUUUAACAUCUCACCGCUCCUCUAAAACCGUCUAAUUCCGUCACUUUGAACCACUAGGUUUCUCCGGUGAAAGUACUGGCCGGUUCAGAACAACAAGUAUUUCGACAGUGAAGGAAAAUAGAAGAAGAGGAAGGCAAAGAAAAAAGAAGAAAGGGAUGGACAGAGGCCCUCCGGCACCGGCUCGAGACCAGGCCGGAGAAGGAAUGUCGAAGCUUUUGCGAGGUUUGGAUCUCCCUCUUUCUUUUCAGACCGUUUCUUUUCUUGACCAAUCCUAUUGGCUUUGAUUGCAUAAAUGAUGCAUAUUCUUAUUGUAUUUGUUAUUCAAUUUCGUUGGUGAAACCGGAUAAACCGGAUAAAAAGAAAGCACAAACCAUUAUCAAGCUUAAGCCGAUUGAAUAUAUGAAGAUUUUGGGAAAAAAAAAAGAUUUUUGAAAGUGACCUUCAGCUCCAUGUCAGCCUCAACCUCUUAAUACAGACGUAGAUGUAAUGGAAUUAUGGACAUCUGUGCUUUUGACAAUUGCAGUUUCCACUGAACUUCCUUCAACAUAUAGAUGAAUGAGUUUUGUCACUUCCUUUAACAUUUUUUUUUUGCUGACCUAUCACAUGGAGUGUCGUUCUCCAAGAGCACGAUUCUUAAAAUAGCCAAAGGGUAAUAUGGAGCUUCAUAUUUAAUCUGCACGAAAACAAAGUCACAAAGAAGUCAAACCAAGAAGAGAAAUAAACCAGACAUUUAAUUUACUAAACAUUUUUGUGCAUAGUUUGGAGAAUACAUUAACAACAUGUAUAAUCUGUGCAUUGCUUGAGCUCUGUGGAUUGGUCUGAGCUACGUGCAUUGUUCCUCUGUUGUUCUUGUCAAUGUAAGUUACUUUAUGUUCAAAAAACAUGUAUAAUAUGUGAUGUUCAAUCCUAAGCAUUUUUUUGUAACGUUCAGUCAUAAGCAUAUUGUACAUUUUUAAGUUGUAGAUUAUUAUAUUUUCGUGCAAACUUGUGGCUAUUAAACGAUAUGGACCAGGACUGGUGGUACAUGUAAUGGUCAGAAGAGUUGAUGAGCUCUUGAUAUGAAGAACAAAUUAUUAGCCCCAAACAAUAGAAAUAUAUGGGUUUCGUGCGUCUUUGACGAUUCAAUCUGAAUAGUCUUUUACCAAAUGUUAUGAUUAGAUAAGUGCACUGAAUACAACAUAAAAGUUAUAUUUCCUCAAAAAUCUAUUAUUAAAAUAUAUGGACAUCAAUUAUUUAUAAUGCAAAAACCAACAAAUUAAACAACAAUUAAAUGGUCAACAUUCAAAAUUUAAAACUAAUAUUUUAUAAAUAUCCAAGUCGCAUAUAAAUUUGAAUUUUUUAAAUAUUGUAAAUAAAUUUAUAAUAAAUAAAAUUAAUUGAUCAAAAAUUAUCUAAACCAUUUGAAUUUGAAUUUGAAUUGAUUAAGUCGCAUAUAAAUUUGAGUUUUUCAACAAAACAAAAACAAAAAAAAAUUAUUAGAUCAAAACUGUGUGAAAAGACAAAAGUGAAUCAAUAAUUCACAUAAAAAUAAAACAACAAAGUAAAACAACUUAAGAGCAUACAAUUUAAACGCAGCUUUUACUUAAAACAUUAUAUUGUGCCAUAAACUAUACAAAAUUCUAUUUUUUGGUCUACCUAAAUCAGACUUUUUUUGUGAGAUGAUCAAAUCCUGUAAUAUUUUUUUUUGUGUGUAACCACUAGUCCAUUUAAAUUAACAUAAUCCCGUAAUAAUUUAGGAACCAUAAAAUAACAAAAAAAAACUUAAACUUGAUAUGGACUUUUCAAGGGUCCAAAGUUCAAAUCAAUGUAGUAUUUUAGAUGUCAAUUCAUUUUUAAUUGUUUCAAUUCAAAGAGAAUUCAUGUUCAUAUGCAUUCAAUGUAAUGAAAUGAUUAGAUCAAAUUAACAAGACUCUAACACAAUCAACUAGCAACUUUCAAGUAAAUGGAUAAAGGAGAAGUCAAGGGUAAAGGAAUUUGAUUUCAGAUGACUAAGAUUUAAUCUAAAAUGGCAAAGUUUUAAUCAACACAUUUUCCUAAGUCUAGAUAACAAUUCUAAGCAAUUUCUUUAUCAAGACAAAUGCUCAUUUACUCUCAUUGAUCAAACAUCAAAUGCCUUUGGUUUGUGUCAAUCAAGUAAUCAUUAAGAACAGAUCAUUCAACUUUCUAAACUCCCCUAACAUCAAAUGCCUUUGGUAGGGUAAGCUAAGAGCAUGUUGAGUUGGCUCAGACAUUUCAUCAAACACCUUCCGGGCAAUCAAAUGUCUAGAUUUCUAAUCUAAAAUGGCCAACUCUAGAUUACAUUAAGAUCACUCAAUCAAGCAAGAAAACAUAUUAAUCUACUCUAAACAUUCUAGAUCAUCACUUAAUCAUCCUAAUCAUCCUAACCCAUGAAUCCAAAGAUGACUACUCACUCAUUAUCAUGGUAGACACUAAAUCAUUAGUUGAUCUAAGUCUAAACAUGAUUAAUGAUCAAAGCAAUCAAGCAAUCACAAAAGAUAAUGAUCAAGAUUCGAUCUUUCACCUAAAAGUGGCUUUUUGAUUAGAUAGAAAACAAGAUAAAUCUAACUUUGGGAUUACAAGAGUAUUUAUAUGAUCCUUGGAAAACCUAAAGACUUCCUUUAAAAAGUCUAAAAUGCCUUUAAAAAGUCUAAAAUGCCCUUAAAAUGCCGUUAAUCUUUUGGCAAGAUUCAGUUCAUUUCCUACGCAAAGACAUUGGAAUGGGAUCAAACAUGUCUUUCGCUACCUUCAAGGAACGAUUGGUUUAGGAUUAUUUUAUCCUAAAAACACUAACAGAGAAAUGGUUGGCUUUGCAGAUGCAGGGUAUUUAUCUGAUCUUCAUAAAGCUCGAUCACAAACAGGGCAUGUAUUCACAGUUGGAGGAAGUGCUAUAUCAUGGCGCUCUCAGAAGCAAACACUAGUUACCACUUCUUCCAACCAUUCUGAAACAAUUUCUCUCCACGAAGCAAGUAGAGAGUGUGUUUGGCUUAGAUCAAUAAGUCAACACAUCCAUUCAAGUAGUGGAAUACACAUCAGUCCAAAACCAACCAUCUUAUACGAAGACAAUGCAGCGUGCGUCGCCCAAAUAAAAGAAGGAUAUAUCAAAAGUGACAAAACCAAACAUAUACCACCGAAGUUCUUCUCAUAUACCCAAGAACUUGAGAAGAAUAAAGAAAUUGAAGUGAAGUAUGUUCGAUCAUGUGACAAUGCUGCAGACCUCUUUACGAAGUCACUACCCACUACAACAUUCAGGAAACAUGUUUACAACAUUGGAAUGCGUCAUCAACAAAACCUGUAACGAUCGUCUAUUCGAGGGGGAGCUUCUACAAUUGUACUCUUUUUGCCUUACUAUGGUUUUUCCCACUGGGUUUUCUAAGAAAGGUUUUUAGUGAGACAACAAGAGAUGAUACACAUAAGACAUUAAUGAUACUGGUCUCUAAGGGGGAGUGUUACGAAAGUCAGCAACACUUUCGUGUGAGAGUUGAUAUGGAGCCCAUAUCAUUUAAAACUCACAGUAACAAUUGUCGAAAUCUUUUCUAUAUAAGGAAUUGUAUUGUGAUCAUUUUACGAUGUCCCUUCUGAACAUUUAUAAUAUCUCCUUGUCUUUUGGUAUACUUCUUCUUCUUUCGCUUUAUCGUAAUUAUUAUUCUUCUACUUUAUAUUAUUUAUAUAACAUUAUUGAAUAUAUAUACAAAACAUGAAUGAAACUAUAUAUAAUAAUUAUAACAAAAAAUAAUUUAUAUACUGUUUGUAAAAAAUCAGAAUUUAAAAUCCAAAUUGAAAAUCUUUUUCCUUACACUAUUUGAUUUAUAUACUAAUAACUACCUAAGUAAUCACUACCAGCCCAUAAACUUCAGCUUUCAAAACAUGAAAGCUUUAAUAACACUAAUGGUCGAUCAAAGCAUUACGGAGAUAAGCUAUGAAAAUAUCAACAUAUAUGAAUUAGCUGGUCAUUUUUAUAUCAACCUAAUCAAACUGUGUCGCCUCCAAAUUCCAUUCAUCAUCAUUAUAGAAAACAUGAGAAAAAUAAAAUUAAAAAUAAAAACAAACGACAAAAUUUCAUACGCAAAACAACACAUCAACAACGUACCCGAUUCCGCGCUUGCACAGGGGUUAUGCCCCUAGUCUUUUUUAACGCUGAUUUAUUAUGAUAUUACAGUUAAGAGGAAGAUUACAUAGACGAUUUGAAAACCGAAAAUAUUACAUGCCUUAUGAGGAUCUACAACUAACUGCAUCACCUGAGCCGUCCUAUGAAGAUCCACGCCUAGCCGGAUUUACAUGCACCAUGUUGAAGAUCCCUUGUAAGAUUUUCUUCCAUAGUCUGCAUAAUUGUUUAAUAAAUCGUUUUCACCGGGAAUUGAAACCUGGACCUCCUGUAAUGUCCAAUCUGCAAGAAAGUGCAUAGCAUAGGAUUUGAACCCGAUACCUUGAUGUAAAAGUCUUUAAACCUUAACCACUACGAUACGGUGCUUCCACAAUUAUGCCUCUAGUCUAUUACAAUAAAGUUGGAUUACCUCUCUCCUCCUGCGUCCACAUCAUCAAAGAAAGAGGGGUGUGUUGUUCCACAUGUCACUCCACCAAACCAUCCCGCGUUUGAAUUGAUUCCGGUUUAUCUCAUGUCUUCUAUCCUGGACUGGGAUAUUAUUCCUCUGUUGAGAUUUAGUUAAUGGGCUCUUAUUGUCUUUUCAAACCAAACCCAUUGUUACUACAGUUUUGUUCUUUUUCGUUCACAGAGCUCUAAGCGUCUUGCCUCUUCGAAUCUGCUGACCUUUGAGCAACGACUUUGUGUGUCUUCCGUUUUCGGUUAUCAUCUCAAUUAAUCCAAGCAUUUAUGCUGAUCCCAUCACUCCUCCCACUCUCUCUCAUUUAAACGUCCCUCAUCUUCUUCCAAGGUGACCGAUUAAAUCUCCAUCUAUAAAUGUCUUCCAUGCAUGCGAUGAACGGCAGCAGUGAGAGUGGGAGAAAGAGGGAAAUCCUGAGUUCGGAACCUAAAUCCGAGAUAGAAAAAUCAAUAAGCACGGCCUAAGAAAGCUGAGUUUUGAAAACUGAUUUCUGUAUUUCACGAUGACAAAUUAAAUUCAGUAUUAGCAUGGAGCAAUCGGUUUCUUCAAAAUCUCCGUGAUGCCGUUACCAAAUCUUUCGAGCACCAUCAGUGGUUGAGAGGCUUGCAAUGUGUUGGAGCUAUGGAGAUUGUCACGCCGAAACCAGUCAGUUUUCUCUGCACGGUCCCAUCCAUGUUUUCACCGAGUGUGUGCUCCGAGGUCCCAAAUGUAUACAUCUUCUAGGAUAAUCUUGGGAAAAGCUACAAGUUAAAGAGAGGAUGACAAGCUAGAUGUAGAUGCUGCUAUGAACAAGUUUUCCAGCAAUAUAUAUGAAUGAGGACAUGAGUCAAGCCAUGAACAAAUCAUUCAUGGGCUGAGCAAUAACCUUUUUGGUCUUCUUUCUAACAACUUUUCAUUUCUCCUUUUGAUUGACUAUUUACUCUUUUUUUAGGUUUUAAAAGCAGACCUUGAUAUGCUUAGGUUCGAUAUUGGCCAAAAUGAAACAGUAACAGA